CGGGACGGGUGAGUAAUGUCUGGGAAACUGCCUGAUGGAGGGGGGUAACUACUGGAAACGGUAGCUAAUACCGCAUAACGUCGCAGACCAAAGAGGGGGACCUUCGGGCCUCUUGCCAUCGGAUGUGCCCAGAUGGGAUUAGCUAGUAGGUGGGGUAACGGCUCACCUAGGCGACGAUCCCUAGCUGGUCUGAGAGGAUGCCAGCCACACUGGAACUGAGACACGGUCCAG
rnacentral:rRNA from 1 species